rnacentral:rRNA from 1 species
UACGAAGGGGGCUAGCGUUGUUCGGAAUUACUGGGCGUAAAGGGCGCGUAGGCGGUACUUCAAGUCAGGCGUGAAAGCCCCGGGCUCAACCUGGGAACCGCGCUUGAGACUGGAGAACUAGAGUUCGGGAGAGGAUGGUGGAAUUCCCAGUGUAGAGGUGAAAUUCGUAGAUAUUGGGAAGAACACCGAUGGCGAAGGCAGCCAUCUGGGCCGAUACUGACGCUGAGGAGCGAAAGCGUGGGGAGCGAACAGG